rnacentral:rRNA from 1 species
UACGUAGGGCGCAAGCGUUGUCCGGAAUUAUUGGGCGUAAAGAGCUCGUAGGCGGUUUGUCGCGUUCUGCUGUGAAAACCUAAGGCUCAACCUUGGGCUUGCAGUGGGUACGGGCAGACUAGAGUGCGGUAGGGGUGACUGGAAUUCCUGGUGUAGCGGUGGAAUGCGCAGAUAUCAGGAAGAACACCCGUGGCGAAGGCGGCUCUCUGGGACGGUACUUGGACGCUGAGACGGCGAAAGCGUGGGGAGCGAACAGG